rnacentral:rRNA from 1 species
UACGUAGGGUGCAAGCGUUAAUCGGAAUUACUGGGCGUAAAGCGUGCGCAGGCGGUUUUGUAAGACAGAGGUGAAAUCCCCGGGCUCAACCUGGGAACUGCCUUUGUGACUGCAAGGCUUGAGUGCGGCAGAGGGGGAUGGAAUUCCGCGUGUAGCAGUGAAAUGCGUAGAGAUGCGGAGGAACACCGAUGGCGAAGGCAGCCCCCUGGGCUGACACUGACGCUCAGGCACGAAAGCGUGGGGAGCAAACAGG